UACGAAGGGGGCGAGCGUUGUUCGGAUUUACUGGGCGUAAAGGGCGCGUAGGCGGCGCGAGAAGUCGAGUGUGAAAGCCCCGGGCUCAACCUGGGAAUGGCGCUCGAUACUCUUGUGCUUGAGUUCGGGAGAGGAGCGUGGAAUUCCCAGUGUAGAGGUGAAAUUCGUAGAUAUUGGGAAGAACACCAGUGGCGAAGGCGGCUCACUGGCCCGAUACUGACGCUGAGGCACGAAAGCUAGGGGAGCAAACAGG
rnacentral:rRNA from 1 species